CAGGUACAGCGGGAAGCCAUAUGGCGACAUAGAGCGGAACCCGAAAACCUGUCUCAGUUCGGAUUGGAGUCUGCAACCCGACUCCAUGAAGCUGGAUUCGCUAGUAAUCGCGCAUCAGCCACGGCGCGGCGAAUACGUUCCCGGGCCUUGUACACACCGCCCGUCAAGCCAUGGGAGCCGGGGGUACCUGAAGUGCGUGACCGCAAGGAGCGCCCUAAGGUAAAACCGGUGACUGGGGCUAAGUCGUAACAAGGUACC
rnacentral:rRNA from 1 species